ACCUGUAACCGGUACGGGCUCUGAGAGGAGGAGCCCGGAGAUGGGUACUGAGACAAGGACCCAGGCCCUAUGGGGCGCAGCAGGCGCGAAACCUCUGCAAUAGGCGAAAGCCUGACAGGGUUAUUCUGAGUGACUUUCGCUAAGAAAGUCUUUUGACACCUCUAAAAAUGGUGUAGAAUAAGGGGUGGGCAAGUCUGGUGUCAGCCGCCGCGGUAAUACCAGCACCCCGAGUGGUCGGGACGAUUAUUGGGCCUAAAGCAUCCGUAGCCGGUUUUACAAGUCCUCCGUUAAAUCCAACUGCUUAACAGAUGGGCCGCGGAGGAUACUAUAAGACUAGGAGGCAGGAGAGGCAAGCGGUACUCAGUGGGUAGGGGUAAAAUCCGUUGAUCCAUUGAAGACCACCAGUGGCGAAGGCGGCUUGCCAGAAUGCGCUCGACGGUGAGGGAUGAAAGCUGGGGGAGCAAACCGGAUUAGAUACCCGGGUAGUCCCAGCUGUAAAC
rnacentral:rRNA from 1 species